AAUCGGACUCCGAUCAUUCAACAAGCAACAGAGGAAAUACCGUAUGAUUUUGCAAGCUUAUUGUGGGAAGGAAAAGUUCCAUAUGGUCAAUGUCUUGAACUUAUUGAUGAUGACUUAUGCAACUGCAUGAGUCUGAAUCUUUUUCGAACACAAGAGAAUUGAUGGAGUGAUAUAAGAAGGUUUCUUUGUUAAUUGAUUAUUCUCUUCCGCUUACAGGGGAUAGCGCUAAGAAUAAGUGCUUUGAUGAACUAAUAGGUGUUUGAAUUUUGUGUUUACUUUGCUCUGCAUAGGGUUCCUUCAGUUUUUUGUAUUCUUUUACUUCGCUCAGUAAUUAUUUUAUUUUCAAGAUAAGAAUACAAGCUGCAUCUGCAUUGGCUACCCUACCAACAAUAGUGGGUGAAUCAGUAAUAACAAAACUAUUGAGAUAAGUUUUAAAGCUUAUUGAGAAAUAUUGAUUGUGUUUCUAUAAAUACUUUACCGUUUAAUUUUGUAAAAAACCUUCAUAUUUAAUUUUCAGAUAUGGAUCCAAUGAACAACAGUCCUUCAUUUUUAAAGCUUAUUCAGGAAGAUGACCAGAUA